UGGUAUUCUGAAUGUUUUUGA
rnacentral:piRNA from 1 species